rnacentral:rRNA from 1 species
UACGUAGGGUGCAAGCGUUGUCCGGAAUUAUUGGGCGUAAAGAGCUCGUAGGCGGUCUGUCGCGUCUGCUGUGAAAAUCCAGGGCUCAACCCUGGACCUGCAGUGGGUACGGGCAGACUAGAGUGCGGUAGGGGAGAUCGGAAUUCCUGGUGUAGCGGUGAAAUGCGCAGAUAUCAGGAGGAACACCGGUGGCGAAGGCGGAUCUCUGGGCCGUAAGCUGACGCUGAGGAGCGAAAGCAUGGGGAGCGAACAGGA